UUAGUUGCGUGUCUAUUGUGCGCUAGUCGCGCCGUUCCGCGAACUGCACGGGAACGGCGGCGGCAACAUCAUCGAAUUGCUGGGAACCCUCGAUAGGCCGGAGGUACUAAAGGCUCGGGGAAACCCGGGUCAAAUCGAGCUUAGACGCUCGCAGUAAAAACCCUUCGGAUAGAGGCAAUCAGCAGCCAAGCGCCUACAGCCGCGUGUAUUACAGUGUAUUACAGUUGGGUAUGCAUGUAUUACAAGUGGUCACGGUGAAGGUCCAGAGACUAAGUGGUGAUGGGUGCCGGCGCGGCCGACCGCGCCGGUGCUUAAGAUAUAGUCCACCCCUCUUGAGAGAGAGCU
rnacentral:ncRNA from 1 species